CACACCGCCCGUCACACCAUGGGAGUUGGCUUUACCCGAAGGCGGUGCGCCAACCUGUUUACAGGAGGCAGCCGACCACGGUAAGGUCAGCGACUGGGGUGAAGUCGUAACAAGGUAGCCGUAGGGGAACCUGCGGCUGGAUCACCUCCUUU
rnacentral:rRNA from 1 species